UACGUAGGGUGCGAGCGUUGUCCGGAAUUAUUGGGCGUAAAGGGCUCGUAGGCGGUCUGUUGCGUCGGGAGUGAAAACUCAGGGCUUAACCCUGAGCCUGCUUCCGAUACGGGCAGACUAGAGGUAUGCAGGGGAGAACGGAAUUCCUGGUGUAGCGGUGAAAUGCGCAGAUAUCGUCUGGAACGCCAAAGGUGAAAACAGCUCGCUGGGGUUGUGCUGACGCUGAGACACGAAAGCCAGGGGAGCGAACGGG
rnacentral:rRNA from 1 species